AUACGUAGGGGGCUAGCGUUAUCCGUAAUUACUGGGCGUAAAGGGUGCGUAGGUGGUUUCUUAAGUCAGAAGUGAAAGGCUACGGCUCAACCGUAGUAAGCUUUUGAAACUAAGAGACUUGAGUGCAGGAGAGGAGAGUAGAAUUCCUAGUGUAGCGGUGAAAUGCGUAGAUAUUAGGAGGAAUACCAGUUGCGAAGGCGGCUCUCUGGACUGUAACUGACACUGAGGCACGAAAGCGUGGGGAGCAAACAGGAUUAGAUACCCUGGUAGUCCACGCCGUAAACGAUGAGUACUAGCUGUCGGGGGUUACCCCCCUCGGUGGCGCAGCUAACGCAUUAAGUACUCCGCCUGGGAAGUACGCUCGCAAGAGUGAAACUCAAAUGAAUUGACGGGG
rnacentral:rRNA from 1 species